CCUAACACAUGCAAGUCGAGCGAGGUAGCAGUACCUAGCGGCAGACGGGUGCGUAACAUGUGGAAUCUGCCUUUUAGGUUCGGAACAACACGGGGAAACCUGUGCUAAUACCGGAUAAGCCUUACGGAGAAAGUUUUAAUGCCAAAAGAUGAGCCCGCAUUUUGAUUAGCUAGUUGGUGAGGUAAAAGCUCACCAAGGCGAUAAUCAAUAGCUGAUUUGAGAGGAUGAUCAGCCACACUGGGACUGAGAUACGGCCCCAGACUCC
rnacentral:rRNA from 1 species